UACAGAGAAAAGAGGCCUCUGCUAGCAGGGAAAACAUACGCGUUGUUGAUAAAACAUUCUUGAUUUGUAAAAAGGAUUUGGAUACAUUUUCAAACAGACUUGAUUGUAAUCAUCAGUUAUUAAUGGAAUUUUUGCCGAAAUUUUCUUUGGAAGUUAAUAGCAUUUUCAUCAAUUCUGCGGUUUUUGGAAAUUCAGGAUAUUAUGAGUCAGGUGACUAAGUUGAAUGGGGAGAAAUUAAUUUCGUUAUCACAGCUUCCUCGAUUUGUUUCUUCGCAGUUUGUUUCUCAUUUGCGUGGUAUCCCCUAGUUGCUCGAACGAACGCAGCGAGCGAGAGCAAAACUAAUCUUGCCUUGCCAAGCCGAAAUAGCUAAAAAAAUUCAACUCAUAUCGAUUUGGGUCUCCUGUGGAACAAGACACCGCCAUCUUGAAAAUCAAAUCACCCUCCCGUCCCCCACAAAACAAUUUGUGGAUGCGUGCUGGAUUUGGACGUUGUGCACAGGGAGCUCACCAAUACAGUUUGAAUUGAGUUAGAGUUGUUUCUUUAGCUUUGCGCUGUUGAUUAUUUUUGGUGCGUGUGUGCGUUUGUAUCUCUUGUAACUACUUUUUCGGCGCCCGGUGCUUUCUGGCGCUCUCUCAUUGGUUAGCAGUUUAACGGCCGUCUCGACUGCGAAAUGGCUUUCGUGUCAAAUUCCUAAAAUGAGGGGGUAAAUAGUAAGCAUUCAUUCAGUGUUAUUUAAUGAGACUUGUGUAGAAAGGGAAAUGUAAAAUCAAUCAGAAUAAUCUCAUUUCUCUACCCCGCUUCUCGGCCCUCCUAAUAUCAGACAUAAAAUUGUUAUUUUUUAUUCGAUACUGGGUUUGCAGUAGUUUAUAUUUUGAGUCUGUUUUUCCACAGCAAUGUCCAGUCCAGAACUUUGCAAAUCAGUGCCCAAGAAAUAAAACAAAAUUGAUUGCUACAUUUUAUUUAAACCAAGGCAAACACAGGCACGACACAGACACAGAGAUUCUUUAGAAAUCAGUGGGCUCCAGUGAAUAAUGCAGUCUACUUACAUGCAGAAGCUAUUAUUAGGGAGAAGCAGGAACUCAUAAAUUCUGUAUAGUUCACUAUAUGUAAACACAUGAGCAGUGAUCAUUUCGGUAGCUAUUAUCAUGGCCACCACUUAGACCCAAAUAGCUUACUGGGUAUGUACGGGCAUGCAGCUCGGGGUUGUGCCCCUCUCACUCAAUCACCAAAAAGCAGUCUUUUUUAAAUAUACUUACUCUCCAUAAUAUCCAUAUGACUGCACAUCCCCUCUACAGCUAAUCCGAUUGUUUGUUAUGGUUAUCAGACUUGCCCUCAAUGCCUUCAAUUAAAUGGUUUCUUUUGUUUAAUAAAAUAAGACUAUAGUCUUAUUUUAUUAAACUGUUUUUGUUUUAUUUACUGUUAGUUUCAGGGAGUUAUUUUUACUCCACUCAGAGAGUAAAAACUACUCUUUGCGAUGGAGUACUUUUAAAGGAGUAAUUUGAACUCCUUUAUUGGAGUAAAAACUACUCCACUGAGGAGUAUUUUUUUUGUUUACUCCCUUAACGGAGUAAGUUUUACUCUGCUAAGAAUUAGUAUCGAAUGUUUCUUAGAAAAAGAGUGAUUUUCACUCUUGUUGGUCAAAUAAUGGAGUAAAAAGUACUCUUUUUUGGGGGGGUAAUUUUAGCAGAGUAAAAGCUACUCCAACUAUCUGAAGUGAAAAGAGUUAUUUUUACUCCAGAUGGUCAAGAAAUGGAGUAAACAAGUACUCCUUUGAGGGGGUAGGUUUUGAAGAGUAAAAACUACUCCAGCUAUCUCGUGUUGAAAGAGUAGUUUUUACUCCAGCUGUAUCUUUUUAGAGCAGUAACAAACCACACCAAAUAUAUAAAAUAAAGCGAGUUGUUUUUUUACUCUGAAUUAGCUGAAUUUAAGAAGGAAAACGAUAGUCUUUAUUAUAUAAGACAACAGAUAAAAAUAAUAAUUUAUCGUAUUUAUUGUUGAGACAAAAAAACUCUACCCUGUGCCUAGGAGUUUCCUAAGAUUUCCUAAGUUCGAUCAAAACAACAAAAUAUGAUUAAACUUCCUAAAAAUUCCUAGGAUUUCCUAGUAUAAGCAGUAGACCAGAAAAUCGGAAUAAUUUGGAUAAGAAAAUCUUAGGAAGAAGAUUUGAAGCAUUCUACAAUUUGGGAACUCUUAGGAAAUUCUUAGGGAAUCCUAAAAGAACAUUUUCAAUACAAGAACAGGCCUCACCAUACUUGCAUAUAUUGUCAGCUAUACUACAACAAUAGGAAAUGUAAUCAAAGACAGGCAUUGGACUCGAACAUGAGUUUUAUGUGGUGUACUUUCAGAAUUCGUUCAGAAUAAUUAGUACUGCAUUGAAAAGAAAGAUAGGUAGGGUGAUAAUUGUAUAAAAUUCUCAGAUCCGAUUUGAACAUUAUAAAAUCAUAUAUAUUGUUUCUAAUAGAAAUGCUACUUGAGAUUAUAAAAAAAAAGAAGUCCCGCUUUGCAGAUAGAAGACGGCUCACCAGGGCCCGUAAAAGCAAAAUGUACCGGGCGUCCCUCGCUUUAGUGGCCGAUAGGGGCUUGGGCCCAAGGCGCAAAAUCAUAACGGUCGAACGAAAGCCAUUAUCACAGCCUCCAAACGGAUAGCCGUUUAUUCCCGUCUUUUCUACGCGUAAUUCACAUUUUUUAAGGAUUUGAUGGCAGAAAAUGGAUUGAAGUAAAAGGACAUUAUGAUAGAGAUAGUAAAAUGUGCUCGAGUUGCAAAGCCAGAAAAGAAAGAAGUUGAAGGUAUAAGGAAUGUAUCAAUGCGUAAAUCGCAAGAAACAAAUAAAAACUUCGUAAACUUAAGUUAUUCACUAAUCACUGUACUUACAUCUAAAGCGCCUAUGCUUUAUAAACUGUUACUUGAAGCACAAAAUUGAAUUACUUAGCUUAGUAAAAACCUAGUAAUCAGUCUUGCACCUAAAAUUUGUCCAGAUGUUUAUUUUGAAUAUCUAAUGUUACUGUAGUUGGUUUUUGUCCGUAUAUUCUGAUCACAGUAAACCCUGCAUAUGAAGAACCUAGUUAUCUUUUCAAGCUAGCCUAUCAGGUUCAAAUUUAAAUGGUGCAUAUAGAGGCAUUAGGCUUCUAGCUUCUUAUCUGAAUAUACAAAGAUGGAGGAGGUGGCAGUUCUUUUGGAAAACCGUAAUGACGACAAAAAGGGUAAUGUUCAAAAGCUGUUAAAGUUGUUAUAGAAAAA